CUAUGUGCUCCAUAUUCUGCACGAGGACCAGUGUGCUGUCCACUGACCUGCCGGAACCACCUCUGAUGCCCCCUGUAUUCUAGAGCAACAGUCUCCGAAGCAACACUGAGCCAAAGCAACAUGUGUGGCGACUGAAUGACAGCACACAUUUUUCCUGUUGUUUGGGACUUAAAUACAGGAAUAUAUGACAAAUAUAUUGGGCACAAUGCUUCCAAUAUCAGGCAGGUCUCUGCAGAAAGAGGAGGAGGGGAAAACACUGAAGGUAACAAAAGCAAAGAAUAUAUAGUACAGUGAGAUGGAACUUUACAGUGGGG